GGAACCAUGCGAGGAGGGGCCGCCCAACCCCGUCAGGUCCGGAAGGAAGCAGCGGUAAGCGGAACCCUCCUGCGCCGUGGGGGCGCA
rnacentral:SRP_RNA from 1 species